rnacentral:tRNA from 1 species
GGCGCGUUGGCUCAAUGGUAGAGCAUUGUACUACGAAUGCAAUGGUUGCAGGUUCAAGUCUUGCACGCGUCU